rnacentral:rRNA from 1 species
AUUACCCAAUACGGACACAGUGAGGUAGUGACAAGAAAUAACAAUACAGGGCAAUUGUCUUGUAAUCGGAAUGAUGGUGACCCAAACCCUCACCAGAGUAGCAAUUGGAGGGCAAGUCUGGUGCCAGCAGCCGCGGUAAUUCCAGCUCCAAUAGCGUAUAUUAAACUUGUUGCAGUUAAAAAGCUCGUAGUUGUAUUUUUGCGUUAGCGGUUUGACCAUUUGGUUGGUUAUUUCGUUUUCGCUUUUGGGAAUUUCCCUUUUUACUUUGAGAAAAUUAGAGUGUUUCAAGCAGACUUUUGUCUUGAAUACUUCAGCAUGGAAUAAUAGAGUAGGACUUUGGUUCUAUUUUGUUGGUUAUUGAACCUUAGUAAUGGUUAAUAGGAACGGUUGGGGGCAUUCGUAUUUAAA